rnacentral:rRNA from 1 species
UCGAACGCAGUAGCAAUACUGAGUGGCGAACGGGUGAGUAGAAUGUGGGUAUCUGCCUUUUGGUUUGGAAUAACACGAGGAAACUUGUGCUAAUACCUCAUAAGCCUUUACGGGGAAAGUUUUAACGCCAAAAGAUGAGCCCAUACUUGAUUAGCUAGUUGGUGAGGUAAUAGCUCACCAAGGCAACGAUCAAUAGCUGUUCUUAGAGGAAGACCAGCCACAUUGGGACUGAGACACGGCCCAAACUCCUACGGGAGGCAGCAGUGGGGAAUCUUGCACAAUGGGGGAAACCCUGAUGCAGCGAUGCCGCGUGAGUGAAGAAGGCCUUUGGGUUGUAAAGCUCUUUCGUCGGGCAAGAAGAUGACUGUACCCGAAUAAGAAGGACCGGCUAACUUCGUGCCAGCAGCCGCGGUAACACGAAGGGACCUAGCGUAGUUCGGAAUUACUGGGCUUAAAGAGCACGUAGGUGGUUAAGAAAGUUGGUGGUGAAAGCCCAAGGCUUAACCUUGGAACUGCCACCAAAACUUUUUGACUAGAGUAUGAUAGAGGUGAGUGGAAUUUCUAGUGUAGAGGUGAAAUUCGUAGAUAUUAGAAAGAACACCAAUUGCGAAGGCAACUUUCUGGAUCAUUACUGAGACUGAGGAGCGAAAGCAUGGGUAGCGAAGAGGAUUAGAUACCCUCGUAGUCCAUGCUGUAAACGAUGUGUGCUAGACGUUGGAAAUUUAUUUUUCAGUGUCGCAGCAAAAUCAUUAAGCCCACCGCCUGGGGAGUACGACCGCAAGGUUAAAACUCAAAUGAAUUGACGGGGACACGCACAAGUAGUGGAGCAUGUGGUUUAAUUCGAAGAUACGCGCAGAACCUUACCAACACUUGACAUGUCUGUCGCGAGCCUAAGAGAUUAGGUUCUUCAUUCAGUUGGACAGAACACAGGUGCUGCAUGGCUGU